rnacentral:rRNA from 1 species
AACGAACGCUGGCGGCAGGCUUAACACAUGCAAGUCGAGCGCCCCGCAAGGGGAGCGGCAGACGGGUGAGUAACACGUGGGAAUCUACCCAUCCCUGCGGAACAACUCCGGGAAACUGGAGCUAAUACCGCAUACGCCCUUCGGGGGAAAGAUUUAUCGGGGAUGGAUGAGCCCGCGUUGGAUUAGCUAGUUGGUGGGGUAAAGGCCUACCAAGGCGACGAUCCAUAGCUGGUCUGAGAGGAUGAGCAGCCACAUUGGGACUGAGACACGGCCCAAACUCCUACGGGAGGCAGCAGUGGGGAAUAUUGGACAAUGGGCGCAAGCUUGAUCCAGCCAUGCCGCGUGAGUGAUGAAGGCCUUAGGGUUGUAAAGCUCUUUCACCGAUGAAGAUAAUGACGGUAGUCGGAGAAGAAGCCCCGGCUAACUUCGUGCCAGCCGCCGCCGUAA